rnacentral:rRNA from 1 species
UACGGAGGGUGCAAGCGUUGUCCGGAAUCACUGGGCGUAAAGGGAGCGUAGGCGGCGCGGUAAGUCAGAUGUGAAAUCCCGGGGCUCAACCCCGGAACUGCAUCCGAUACUGCCGUGCUAGAGGAUUGGAGAGGUAGCUGGAAUUCUUGGUGUAGCAGUGAAAUGCGUGGAGAUCAAGAGGAACACUCGUGGCGAAAGCGAGCUACUGGACAAUAUCUGACGCUGAGGCUCGAAGGCCAGGGUAGCGAAAGGG